AACGCGAAGAACCUUACCUGGAUUUGACAUCCUCGGACAACCCUAGAGAUAGGGCUUCCCCUUCGGGGGCCGGGAGACAGGUGCUGCAUGGCUGUCGUCAGCUCGUAUCGUGAGAUGUCGGGUUAAGUCCCUUAACGAGCGCAACCCUUGUCUCUAGUUGCCAUCAUUUAGUUGGGCACUCUAGAGAAACCGCCGGUGUUAAACCGGAGGAAGGUGGGGAUGACGUCAAGUCCUCAUGGCCUUUAUAUCCAGGGCCACACACGUGCUACAAUGGCAGAUACAAAGGGUCGCUAACCCGCAAGGGGGAGCUAAUCUCAGAAAGUCUGUCUCAGUUCGGAUUGAAGUCUGCAACUCGACUUCAUGAAGCUGGAAUCGCUAGUAAUCGCGGAUCAGAACGCCGCGGUGAAUACGUUCCCGGGCCUUGUACACACCGAGACGUA
rnacentral:rRNA from 1 species